UCCUCCCCCAGGCGUUGACUCAAGAUGAUCUUCCUUUUUGUUAUUUGCUCCUUGAACAGGUUGGACAACUCAUGCAAUUCCCUCUUGGCGCCCACAAAAUUGGUUCCGUUGCAGAAAACAACUCCUCUGGAACACCCCUUUGGGAUACGAAUCUGUGCAGUGCAGCAAUGAACGCAUCCAGCUCAUUGCUUCUCUUCUCCUUCGGUGCUUUCAAUUUGUUGCCAAAUUGAUCAUGGUAGGCCGGUCACAUAAAAAGCUCAAAUCAAAAUUUUUCUUCGAGCUGUCAUGACACAGUCCGAACAUCCUCCCCCAGGCGUUGACUCAAGAUGAAGAAUUAUCCAAGACUGGGAGCGGUGCAAGUUUGUGUAUAGGACGCUUCACACCUGGUCCGGAUAUCAGCAACUCGAAUAAAUCCAUCCGUUCCAGAAUAAACCUUAUGGAUUACUCCCAGCUUCCAAACGUGAGAUGAAAUUGUUUCGAAGUACCUGCACGUACUGCCAUCGCGACAGCCUGUUGAUUGGGAUCUCCUCGUACGUUGGCUCCGGUAUUGCCGUUAAAGGACGACCGAUCUUAAAGUGACCAGGAGUCAGUGGUUCGGGGUCUGUAGCAUCUUCCGAAUGUGCAUACAGAGACCGUGAAUUCAGCAAGGCCUUGAUUUGACAAAGCAGCGUCGAAAACUCCAUCAAGUUGAGUGAAGCAGUGUCAUAAAUCCUUUUCAAAAUUGAGUUGGUGCUCUAUCAUAUCCCUUUACCGGAGCAGCCUUUCUACUGGUUUGCUUGAUUAAAAAAGGGCCGGCUCCAACCCCACCUGUUGGAAUGCUGGAGCGCACAGACGGAAGGUCUCCCAUGAAUUUUUCUGCAGCAGUGGGAUUAACCUUGAAGCAUUUAACGGUUGCUAGCAAAGCAGUUGGUCCGAUGUGCAGAUUCUCGCGGUGGAUGCACCGCAUAUAACUUUGAACCACGGGGCUUCUAUUUGGCAAGAUCCACUGAUGCUUGCUCAGGUACGGUAAUUGCGAAUGGCGCAGACGACCACCAGCUCGCAAUAGCUCACCAUCAAAAAAGGGGUUCAAGGAUUUAAGCUUCUUGGAGGACUCACCUGAUUUCAUUCUCACGAUCUCUUCUGCAAACUCUUGACGCUGUACCACAAAUACUAUUACCUUCAUUGCAUCUUGCAUCUCAGGUAUAAUUGGAAAUGUCGAUAGCACACGCUUCUCCUUAAUUCUUUCUUUCUUGUAAACACAGGUAACAGUUCAAGUUCCACUGUGGUAUUGACGAAAACCGUGGUCUUGAGUUCGGGAAUAUCUUCAUCUGGCAACGGUUCAGGAACAUCCAUUUGGCAUUCUUCACUUCUCAAAAACAUUGGUCCGUUCCACCACAGAUCACUUGUGGCCAAAAUUUCGGCAGAAAGCCCACGGGACACUAUAUCAGCAGGAUUUUCUGCAGUGUUCACAUACUUCCACGAAAAAUAAUUUCCGCUAGAAGUAAUCUCACCAACUCUAUUUCUUACAAACACUUCCAGCUGUUCGAGAUUUUUCUUCAGCCAGGCUAACACGAUUUGGCUUUCUAAACUCAACACUAUUUUCCGGAAGGGUAGUUUCAAAGUUUCCAACACUUUCUUCACUAGACGAUGCAACAACACAGCUGCCAAGAGUUCUUUUCGUGGAACCGUCAGUACUGGCUUCGGCACUAUCUUCAACUUUGCAGUCAAAAUCUUCACCUCAUGGGACUUUCCAAGAACAAAUGAUCUUAUGUAAACGCAUGCUCCGUAAGCUUCCAAGGACGCAUCUCCGAACCCAUUGAUCUCAAAGGCAGUAGCAUCAGAUGACACCACUCGACGAGGGAUUCGGAUCUUCUUCACACCACUUAAGCACUUCAAGAAGUAUUCCCAAUUUUUAACCAAUUCACUGUUUAAUUCUUCGUCCUAAUCGAUCUUCUCACUCCAAACGUUCUUCAACAGCAUCUUCCCAACGACAAUCACCGGUGCAGCUAACCCCAGAGGGUCGAACAUACUUGCAACUAACGACAGUACUUGGCGCUUCGUCGGCUUUGUUAUCUCAGGAAAUGGCUUUGCAACGAAGAUCAGUUCAUCCGAGGACGGGUUCCACAGCAGACCAAGUGUUUUGAUCACUUCGUUCACUCCAGUUCCUUUUAAUGUUCACCAAUUCUUCACGAUCAACUUCUGGUAUAUGCUCGACUAGAUCUGGACAGUUUGAAGCCCACUUGUGCAAAUGAAAUCCACCUGCCUCCAAGAGAUGGAUGAGCUGCGACUGUGCUUCUGCGACAUUAUCUACAUAAAAACAGUUCUUGACAAUUUUGGCUGCCAAUGGAAAAUUGUGCCCUUCAUCGAGUGCUACCUGUAGUAAUACUCUUGUUGCUAGGAAAGGUGCUGAAGCAGUGCCAUAGCUUACGGUUUUUAACUCCAGCACACGAAGUGGACGCGACGGAUCCAAUCUGAAGAAUACUCGAUGAAGACAUCUGUGUACCUUAUCAACACUUGACGAUACAUCUUUGGUACAUCCGUAGUCAGGAAAUAACAUGGAAUUCGGAAUCGAAGAGUUAUCUCAUUCAAAGAACACUGAUUAAGCGAUC